rnacentral:rRNA from 1 species
ACGCACGCAAGUGUGAAACUCAAAGGAAUUGACGGGGGCCCGCACAAGCGGUGGGGUAUGUGGUUUAAUUCGAUGCAACGCGAAGAACCUUACCAGGGUUUGACAUCCUGCGAAUCCCUUGGAAACGAGGGAGUGCCUUCGGGAGCGCAGUGACAGGUGGUGCAUGGCUGUCGUCAGCUCGUGUCGUGAGAUGUUGGGUUAAGUCCCGCAACGAGCGCAACCCACGUCGUUAGUUGCCAGCAUUUAGUUGGGCACUCUAGCGAGACCGCCGGUGAUAAACCGGAGGAAGGUGUGGAUGACGUCAAGUCAUCAUGCCCCUUACAUCCUGGGCUACACACGUACUACAAUGCUACGGACAAAGGGCAGCAAACUCGCGAGAGCUAGCAAAUCCCAUAAACCGUGGCUCAGUUCAGAUCGUAGGCUGCAACUCGCCUACGUGAAGGAGGAAUCGCUAGUAAUCGCAGGUCAGCAUACUGCGGUGAAUACGUUCCCGGGCCUUGUACACACCGCCCGUCACACCAUGGAAGUUGGCCACGCCCGAAGCCGUUACUCCAACCCUUGUGGAGGAGGACGUCGAAGGUGGGGCUGAUGACUGGGGUG